rnacentral:lncRNA from 1 species
UGGAGAUGGUAUAUACUCCGAAGGCAUGAAGACAGGUAUUUGCUCCAGGUGAGAUAUAUGCAUGUGUUAUGAAUUGUGGUUUCGAGGAAAACAAUUGUGGAACUCGAUGUGUUUUAUGUUUGUUUGUUUUAAAAUUUGCAGCUGCUAAGUUUCUGAAGCUUCAUCGUCAUACUUUGUGUGUUGUUAAUUAGUAGUAGAAUUCUUAUGCAUUCUACUAUUGUUUAUAGGAAACUCAAGACAUGAUGGUUCCGUUUUGGACGAAAAAGAAAAGUAGCACCACUGUGUUAACCCAAUGCUUAGGUGAUUAACUGCAAAUCAAAAAAUUAUCCCCUGUUUGCGCAAUAUGGAAGUACAUAUGGUUAUUGGUCCUUGAUCAACUUGGCAUAUGUAAAUUUCCUGCGUUCUAAUUUUUUAGCCCUUGUGAUUCUUGAAGUAGGGCCUCCCGAAUGAAUGCACAUUGAAGUCGAAUAGCAAGAUGGGAUAGCUCGAGAGGCAAAGGGCAAGAUGUGCAGACGACAUCAAUGUUUGAAUCUUCUGGAACAUGCAAGUCUAUGGCAGGCGGCAGCUAUCUGCAG